AACAAACGCUGGCGGCGUGCCUAAUACAUGCAAGUCGAACGGGGAAAGCUUUCGGGUGAGUACUAGUGGCGCACGGGUGAGGAACGCGUGGAUAAUCUGCCUUAGAGUGGGGGAUAACUAGUCGAAAGAUUAGCUAAUACCGCAUAAGACCACGAGAGCUGCGGCUUUUGAGGUCAAAGGUUUUUCGCUCUAAGAUGAGUCCGCGUAAGAUUAGCUAGUUGGUGAGGUAACGGCUCACCAAGGCGACGAUCUUUAACUGGUCUGAGAGGAUGAUCAGUCACACUGGAACUGAGACACGGUCGAGACUCCUACGGGAGGCAGCAGUAGGGAAUAUUGCACAAUGGAGGAAACUCUGAUGCAGCGACGCCGCGUGAGUGAUGAAGGCCUUCGGGUCGUAAAGCUCUGUCGCAGGGGAAUAACACAAUGAAGGUACCCUGUAAGAAAGGAUCGGCUAACUUCGUG
rnacentral:rRNA from 1 species